AUGAGCUCCUGGAGCCAUUUGCUUUGAAAUGUGCACAUUUCACAGGCGGCUGCCUGCCAAUGAGACAACUCUAAGCAGGACCAAGAAAAAGGAAAAGAGAGAGAUGCCAGAGAUUUCCAUAGCUGACAUACGCAAAAGAAAGGAAACCUGAAAGGCCCAGAGUGCUGAUGGAGUAAGUGAAGGCAGAGCCUUGAGGAAAUUUUUUUCUUGGCUCUUCAUCAUGAAGACCUCGGGAGAUUUCUGGAGGUAAAACCAGUGGAAAUAUGGAGGCACCUCUAAGACUGUUGUCCCCAGGAGUUUCUCAUUCUCACACUAGAUGACACUCAGCCUCCAUCAGCUCACCAAAAUUACCAUUUAGUUGCUCCUAUCAGUUGUGGCUGCACAGGUUUGUGCUCCAGGACACAAUUGGAAAUAUUGAUUAUAUUACCAAAGCUUUGACUGGAAUGUCAUAUUUGAGAGAAACAUACAGACUAAGAUAUGACAAGACAGUUUUUGAGAAAUAAAGGUUGACUUUAUGGAAUAAAGCCACCUGGAAAUAUUG
rnacentral:lncRNA from 1 species